UUUCAUAUCGUUUUUAAUCAAUGUUUACUCAUAAUAUUUUACUUUUUGUGUUUAUUUUUUUAAAACAACUAAUUGUAAUCUACUUUUUUGAUCUAGUAGCUUGAGAUUUUGAGGUCUUUGGGAAAACUACGAAGAUCAACAACAUCCUCCCCAAUAAACCCAAAAAACGUGGUAUGCAUUCGAAGGUUAUUUAGUCCUACUUCUUAUCAUCAUAUAUGUAAAAAAGGUUAAAUAAAAUGGUUAAUAUUCCUUUUAAAAAAUUUUCCUCUAAAUUACACGGUAUAUAUAUAUAUAUAUAUAUAUAUGCAUUUAAGAUUUUAUCGCAAUCGUUUAUUUGUAGAUUAAAUCUUGAUCGUUAAUCUAAAUUUUCAAAUAUCUAAAAGA
rnacentral:lncRNA from 1 species